rnacentral:rRNA from 1 species
AUGGAAAAGAGGGUGCUCGAUGACAUAGCAGAAAUCUGGGAAAGCAGACAAGAUUCAAAAGAAAGUGACAGAGUAAUAUUAGGCCCAAACUUUGCAGAGAUAUUCAUUCCAAUGGAGAAGCAUGACCGCUACGUACUAUAUGUGCUGGACAAAUACAAACACAAAGUUCACAUUAUUGAUCCUCGAGAAGCGACUCCAGAGGAAUUUGAGAAAGAAAAGAUACAGGUGGAUAAAUUGGAUAAAAUGAAGCAUGUCGAGUUCUUCAGGAACAUGAAGACGCUCAAAAAGAAAGAGAAAGACAGUUUCAGGAAUAUCACGCUCAUAAGUUGGCAAUUGUACCUAGGAUUAAAGAAGUCUUCAACACCAUACUUGAACAAACAAUGA